AUGCGAAAUUAUAAUCUGUCACUUUUGUUUCCUGAACUUUGUCCUGCAGAAACAGACACAAGGCGACCAGCAGCCACGAUCGACAUCCAUCGAUCGAACUACAUGCAUGGCUCGUCGCCAUGCAGCCAACCGGUCGGCGCCACGCGCCUGUUGCUGGACUCACCUGCGUCUUCACCAAGUGGGCCGGACUCGGCCCAGCCGAGCGAACCGCCGUCGCCAGCUUCGUCUACGCUCGGGACGCCCGAGCGAGCUGUACCAGCGUCUGAUGCAUCUGCUGGCCGUGCACUUGUGCACACAGCCGAGACGCCUGCUGCACCAGGCUCCCCAGCUGGCGUCUCUCCGGCGCUGCAAGCCGCUCCUUCAUCACCACCGGUUUCUCGGGCACUGCCGGCGGCUCCUCCAGCAGAGCGUGCACGCACACGUCUCCAGAAUAACAUUGUGUGUCCGAAGAUUCCCAAGGACGGCACUGUUCGGUACAAUCCAUAUCAUCGCGGUUUCGGUGCUGUCGUCAUGUCUGCACCUUCCACCCAUAGGCAGGCCCUUGCUGAUCCUGCUUGGAAGACGGCCAUGCAGGAGGAAUUUUCUGCUCUACAGCGCACAGCGACGUGGUCUCUUGUCCCGCGUCCUUCCGGCACCAACAUCGUUAGCUGGAUAAUACGAUUGACCCAACUGUUACCGGUGCAAUGCUUUUGGGGUCGACCAAAACAUUUAAAAAUGUUAAAUGUGGUUAUGUGA
rnacentral:rRNA from 1 species